rnacentral:rRNA from 1 species
AGAGUUUGAUUAUGGCUCAGGACGAACGCUGGCGGCGUGCUUAACACAUGCAAGUCAAGGGGGCCCAGCAAUGGGCAACCGGCGAACGGGUGCGUAACACGUGAGCAACCUACCGAACUGUGGGGGAUAGCCGGCCUAACGGCCGAGUAAUACCGCAUACGCUCUCAGGGAGGCAUUUCUUUGAGAGGAAACCUACGGGACAGAUCGAGGGGCUCGCGGCCUAUCAGCUAGUUGGCGAGGUAACGGCUCACCAAGGCAACGACGGGUAGCUGGUCUGAGAGGAUGGCCAGCCACAUUGGGACUGAGAUACGGCCCAGACUCCUACGGGAGGCAGCAGUGGGGAAUCUUGCGCAAUGGCCUAACGGCUGACGCAGCGACGCCGCGUGUGGGAUGAAGCUCUUCGGAGUGUAAACCACUGUUGCCCGGGACGAACAGCUCGAUUUCUCGAGCCUGACGGUACCGGGUGAGGAAGCACCGGCUAACUCCGUGCCAGCAGCCGCGGUAAUACGGGGGGUGCGAGCGUUGUCCGGAAUCACUGGGCGUAAAGGGCGCGUAGGUGGUUUGAUAAGGGUGUGGUGAAAGUCCGGGGCUCAACCCCGGACCUGCCGUGCCGACUGUCAAACUCGAGGACUGUAGAGGCAGACGGAAUUCCGGGUGUAGCGGUGGAAUGCGUAGAGAUCCGGAGGAAGACCGGUGGCGANNNCGGUCUGCUGGGCAGUUUCUGACACUGANNCGCGACAGCGUGGGGAGCAAACAGGAUUAGAUA